GAUGAACGCUGGCGGCGUGCUUAACACAUGCAAGUCGAACGGGAAACCUUUUACUGAAGCUUCGGCAGAUUUUGCUGGUUUCUAGUGGCGGACGGGUGAGUAACGCGUGGGUAACCUGCCUUAUACAGGGGGAUAACAGUCAGAAAUGACUGCUAAUACCGCAUAAGCGCACAGGACCGCAUGGUCCGGUGUGAAAAACUCCGGUGGUAUAAGAUGGACCCGCGUUGGAUUAGCUUGUUGGUGGGGUAACGGCUCACCAAGGCGACGAUCCAUAGCCGGCCUGAGAGGGUGAACGGCCACAUUGGGACUGAGACACGGCCCAGACUCCUACGGGAGGCAGCAGUGGGGAAUAUUGCACAAUGGGGGAAACCCUGAUGCAGCGACGCCGCGUGAAGGAAGAAGUAUCUCGGUAUGUAAACUUCUAUCAGCAGGGAAGAUAGUGACGGUACCUGACUAAGAAGCCCCGGCUAACUACGUG
rnacentral:rRNA from 1 species